GACGAACGCUGGCGGCGUGCUUAACACAUGCAAGUCGAACGAAGUGGCAAACGGGUGAGUAACGCGUAAUCAACCUGCCCUUCAGAGGGGGAUAACAGUUGGAAACGACUGCUAAUACCGCAAACUGACGUAGGUGAUUGCGUUUGAUUAGCUAGUUGGAGGGGUAACGGCCCACCAAGGCGAUGAUCAGUAGCCGGUCUGAGAGGAUGAACGGCCACAUUGGGACUGAGACACGGCCCAGACUCCUACGGGAGGCAGCAGUGGGGAAUCUUCCGCAAUGGACGGAAGUCUGACGGAGCAACGCCGCGUGAGUGAUGACGGCCUUCGGGUUGUAAAGCUCUGUUAAUCGGGACGCGGUACCUGAAUAGAAAGCCACGGCUAACUACGUGCCAGCAGACGCGGUAAUAC
rnacentral:rRNA from 1 species